CGGGAUAUAGCGCAGCCUGGUAGCGCGCACCCUUGGGGUGGGUGAGGUCGUGGGUUCAAAUCCCGCUAUCCCGACCA
rnacentral:tRNA from 1 species